rnacentral:rRNA from 1 species
AUUGAACGCUGGCGGCAGGCCUAACACAUGCAAGUCGAGCGGCAGCGGAAAGUAGCUUGCUACUCUGCCGGCGAGCGGCGGACGGGUGAGUAAUGUCUGGGAAACUGCCUGAUGGAGGGGGAUAACUACUGGAAACGGUAGCUAAUACCGCAUAACGUCGCAAGACCAAAGAGGGGGACCUUCGGGCCUCUUGCCAUCAGAUGUGCCCAGAUGGGAUUAGCUGGCAGGUAGGGUAAUGGCCUACCUGGGCGACGAUCCCUAGCUGGUCUGAGAGGAUGACCAGCCACACUGGAACUGAGACAUGGUCCAGACUCCUACGGGAGGCAGCAGUGGGGAAUAUUGCACAAUGGGCGCAAGCCUGAUGCAGCCAUGCCGCGUGUGUGAAGAAGGCCUUCGGGUUGUAAGGCACUUUCAGCGAGGAGGAAGGCAGUAAGGUUAAUAACCUUGCUGAUUGACGUUACUCGCAGAAGAAGCACCGGCUAACUCCGUGCCAGCCGCCGCAGUAA